rnacentral:lncRNA from 1 species
CGAGUAAAAUACAUGUUCAAAUUACAAAACGGAAGGGCUAUCAUCAUACAAAAAACAAACAAAAACUAAUCUAAGUCCUCGGCCCUUUCUCCCGAGGCUGUGCUCCCCUGCUCCUCCACCGCGUCCUCACCGUCAACAUCGACCUCUUGGUCCUCGGCGGUUUCCUCGGACUUUGACAGCUCGAGAGUAUCAGCAAUCUCGGGGAUGUUCUUUAGAUCCUCGGGAUUAGCAUCGGGCUUCGAUCUCAAAAAUGCCCGAGCUUCCUUGAAGGCAUGGAAGUACGAGCCCAUAGCAUACUCCCCCUUGAGGCCGUUAAACUCCUCGGACAUUUUAAAGUCCUCAAUCGCGACCCCUCGAGCUUCAGCCAGGCGAGCCUCAAAAUCAACCUUCAAACACUCGAUCUCGAGCUUUAAACCUUCAGCCUCGCCCUUAGCAGUUCCAGCCUCUUCUCGAGCUCUAUGGGCAUCAUUUUUCGAAUCCUCGAGCUCCUUCCGGAGAAGGAACCGUUCAGCCUCCAAGUCAGCUAUCCUCUUCUCCAGUGCUCGAGAAGAGUCCUCGAGUUCAGUAGUCUUUUGGGCCUCAUCUUUCCCCUUCAGAGAAAGGCCUCGGGCAAUGCUCAAAGCCUACAACAUAUAAACCCGAGCUUAAAAUAAUCACAGCGUUUAAACCUUUUUAAACCUUGUAUUUUAAACAAAGUAGAAUGGGCGAGCUUACCUUAAGAGUAAGAGAUUCCAAAGCCUUCAUGCCCUCAUCAAAACCGAGGUCCUUCCUGUACUUGUCCACGAUGCUUGACACCAGAGGACACCAGUCAGGCUCCUGGUUUUGGAAAGAGGGCAUAGGUCG